GUGUUCAGGCCUUUUGUAAAUUGCUAUCCCAAGGUAGAAACUUUCUCAAGCUUGGCCUGGGGAGGUGUGGUGAGGAAGUCAGUUGGGCGGGUGGCCAAAGACCAAAGGACUCUGCCUGUCUCCCCUCCAGGGCAGGGUGUGAGUCCCCCAUCCAGCUCCUCCUCAGAUGAGGAAUCCUGGGGGGGGGGGGCAGGAGAGGCACAGGCUGGUUCAUGGUCCUCAGCCCCACCUCUCCACCUCUUGAGCAGAAGAUGGCUGUGACCCACCUGGGCUGUGAGGUGCCAAGCCCAGCCUGUGGGGUGAACUGCAGGUAGGUCCUUAAAGCAGCUUUUUUCUCUUAGUCUGAUGGCCCAAACCCAGCCAUGGCUGCUCUGCCCCCUUCCACACCCACCCAGGGGCAGUGCCAAAGGGAUGGUUCCUGCCCGUGGGGUACUUGCCAGCUGCCUGCCUGGCCCCAGCACGCCUGACCCAGCAGGCUUCUGGGCUUCCGGGGCAGGAGGACCACUGGCCUUCCUUCUCCAGACAGCAGAGCAUCUGGAGCACCUCUGUAGGCUCUCUGCUCCGGUGGCCUCCCCUGCUGUGACCCUGGCAUGGAGGCUGGGGUGGGGGAGUUACUUGUGCUCUGGGUUCCACCAUCCUCCCUGCAGAGGGCGGGGGGCGGGUGGGGAGACUCCUGGGACAACCACAGGUCAUAAGGGCCUUAGCAACAGGAAGACAGGAGACUGGUAGAGAUGUCUGUGGUCAAUUUGCUUUCCAAGGCCCUGCUGUCCCCAGCCCAGACGGACAUAGGGGACUCUUGCUCUGCCUGCCAGAGCCUCAGGGUCACUUCUGGGUUAUAGUUAGGAGGGGGUUAACUGAGCUAGCUCUGCACUGGGAGGAGAGGAAACCAGUGUUCAGGACAGGAGGUGCCAUCCCACCAGGGGGCCUGUUUGUGCACAGUCCAGCUGGGUACAGAAACACCCCGCCCAGCCCUUCUCACAGCCAGGGGUCCUCCCACCUCAGUUCCCUCUCAUAGGAAGGACUCAAAGGACUCCAUGGCCUCCCCCACCCUGUAUCCCCUUGAGAAAGAAGUCAGGUCGUCAGAAGGGGCCAGCUGCCCAGAGGGGAACUCCAUCCUGUACACACGGGGAGGGUGCAAGCAGCAGAGCCUCGGUACCCGCUGCACCAAGAGGGAGAUGAUGCAGGGUGAAGUUACAAGGCUAAAAUAGCUCAUCUGAGGACGCACAGAUGUUUCUAUCAUGUGGAAGUGCCCACUCCCUGUCUCCUCCAUAGAGUCUGGUUCUUAGAACCUAAAAAGAUGGUGUGUAUUGACAGUGCUCCCCCCGCCCCUCCACCUGCUGCCCCACCUGGAGCAGGCUCCCUUGACUCCAGGCCACCCCUCUGUGUAUCUCCGUUGAUGUGCAGGAGUAGGACUCCCCACGCCACUGAGGCAGAAGUAGAGGGAGGAUUCCUGGGAGCAAAUCACGCCCUAAGUUGUUCUUAGGAAGACAGAAGCUGAGUGUGUAAGAGGGAGCCCCAGCAAGGAAAGAAGAUUGAGAAGGGAAUAAAUAACGAACACAAGUUCAGAAAAAGCAAAGGGGGAUGGAGUUGGAAAAAAGACUGAUAAGUUGGACUUCAUAAAAACCGAAAACUUUUGCACUUUAAAGGAAACUAUCAAGAAAGUGAAAGACAACCAUAGGAUGAGAGAAAAUACUUGCAAAUUCCAUAUCGGAUAAAGGACAUCUAUCUGGAAUGUAUAAAAAUCUUUUACAGCUCAAAAAUACAAAUACAAAUAUAACCCAGAUGAAAAAAAUGGACAAAGGAUUUGAAUAGACAUUUCUUCCAAGAAGACAUAUAGGCUGGGUGUUGGCUCAUACCUAUAAUCCCAGAACUUGGGGAGGCCGAAGUGGGAGGAUCACUUGAGCUCAGGAUUUCAAGACCAGCCUGAGCAAGACCCCCUUCUCUACAGAAACAAACCCAGAAA